CCUACGGGUGUCAGCAGUGAGGAAUAUUGGUCAAUGGUCGGGAGACUGAACCAGCCAAGCCGCGUGAGGGAUGAAGGUACAGAGUAUCGUAAACCUCUUUUGUCAGGGAACAAAGGCGGGGACGUUUCCCCGGAUGAGUGUACCUGAAGAAAAAUCAUCGGCUAACUCCGUGCCAGCAGCCGCGGUAAUACGGAGGAUGCGAGCGUUAUCCGGAUUUAUUGGGUUGAAAGGGUGCGCGGGCGUUCUGUUACGUCAGCGGUCAAAGCCCGGGGCUGAACCCAGGCCCGCCGUUGAAACUGGCAGUCGCGAGUUGGAGAGAAGUAUGCGGAAUGAGCGGUGUAGCGGUGAAAUGCAUAGAUAUCGCGCAGAACUCCGAUUGCGAAGGCAGCAUGCCGGCUCCACACUGACGCUGAGGCACGAAAGCGUGGGUAUCGAACAGGAUUAGAUACCCCAGUAGUC
rnacentral:rRNA from 1 species